ACGGCUCAGUAACACGUGGAUAACCUGCCCUUGGGUCCGGCAUAACCCCGGGAAACUGGGGAUAAUUCCGGAUAACGCACAUAUGCUGGAAUGCUUUUUGCGUAAAAUGGAUUCGUCUGCCCAGGGAUGGGUCUGCGGCCUAUCAGGUAGUAGUGGGUGUAAUGUACCUACUAGCCUACGACGGGUACGGGUUGUGAGAGCAAGAGCCCGGAGAUGGAUUCUGAGACAUGAAUCCAGGCCCUACGGGGCGCAGCAGGCGCGAAAACUUUACAAUGCGGGGAACCGUGAUAAGGGGACACCGAGUGCCAGCAUCAUAUGCUGGCUGUCCGGGUGUGUAAAAUACACCUGUUAGCAAGGGCCGGGCAAGACCGGUGCCAGCCGCCGCGGUAACACCGGCGGCCCGAGUGGUGAUCGUGAUUAUUGGGUCUAAAGGGUCCGUAGCCGGUUUGGUCAGUCCUCCGGGAAAUCUGACAGCUUAACUGUUAGGCUUUCGGAGGAUACUGCCAGACUUGGAACCGGGAGAGGUAAGAGGUACUACAGGGGUAGGAGUGAAAUCUUGUAAUCCCUGUGGGACCACCUGUGGCGAAGGCGUCUUACCAGAACGGGUUCGACGGUGAGGGACGAAAGCUGGGGGCACGAACCGGAUUAGAUACCCGGGUAGUCCCAGCCGUAAACGAUGCUCGCUAGGUGUCAGGCAUGGCGCGACCGUGUCUGGUGCCGCAGGGAAGCCGUGAAGCGAGCCACCUGGGAAGUACGGCCGCAAGGCUGAAACUUAAAGGAAUUGGCGGGGGAGCAC
rnacentral:rRNA from 1 species